AUUUGAAGGAAUCCUUAAGCAUCAGAGGUGAUAUUAGAGAUUCUCCCUAAACUUUUUUGACAAUAUAAAAGAUAUGUUUAAAAAAUCGCAUCAA
rnacentral:sRNA from 1 species